rnacentral:rRNA from 1 species
UACGAAGGGGGCUAGCGUUGCUCGGAAUCACUGGGCGUAAAGGGCGCGUAGGCGGCCUGAUAAGUCGGGGGUGAAAGCCUGUGGCUCAACCACAGAAUUGCCUUCGAUACUGUUAGGCUUGAGACCGGAAGAGGUAAGUGGAACUGCGAGUGUAGAGGUGAAAUUCGUAGAUAUUCGCAGGAACACCAGUAGCGAAGGCGACACUCUGGGCCGGUACUGACGCUGAGGAGCGAAAGCGUGGGGAGCAAACAGGG